rnacentral:lncRNA from 1 species
AGUAAAAUCACUAGAAUACUGAACUCCGAAGAAAAUACAAAACGGAAAGUCUGUAAUCUAAAGGCAAACUCAUAAGCUCAAACACAUCAAACGAACGGAAAACAACUGCCAUAUUCCUUAUUUGGUACAAACAUUUUCUUAUGUAGAAAAUGGUAGAUUAAACCUGGUUUUAUAGCUAGCUAAACUCACUUUAAAACGACACUAUACAAACAUUAUGGGUUCGAAACGCAUAUCUGGAAUUACCCGCACCAUGAACUCCAAAGCAAAACAAAAAAUACAUAGC